rnacentral:rRNA from 1 species
GUAGGUGGCAAGCGUUGUCCGGAAUUAUUGGGCGUAAAGCGCGCGCAGGCGGUUCUUUAAGUCUGAUGUGAAAGCCCACGGCUCAACCGUGGAGGGUCAUUGGAAACUGGAGAACUUGAGUACAGAAGAGGAAAGCGGAAUUCCACGUGUAGCGGUGAAAUGCGUAGAGAUGUGGAGGAACACCAGUGGCGAAGGCGGCUUUCUGGUCUGUAACUGACGCUGAGGCGCGAAAGCGUGGGGAGCAAACGAGGGAUUAGACUACCCGUGGCAGUCCACGCCGUAAACGAUGAGUGCUAAGUGUUAGGGGGUUUCCGCCCCCCUUAGUGCUGCAGCUAACGCAUUAAGCACUCCGCCGUGGGAGUACGGCCGCAAGGCUG